UAUUAUUUUAAAAAAACUUUUUUGGAUUUACUUUUUUAGAUAACUUAAGCCAUAAAGAGUACUUGUUACAGGCAAUGCUGUACAUGUAGAAUACUUUAUAGUUUGCAAAAUAUUUGUCCUUUUAUGAGAUGCAUUUAAAAGUACACUUGAAGAAAUCAAGGGAGAGCUUGAUAAUAUAUCUUAAUUUCAGCAAGGCAGAGUAAUUUAUUGUAAUCGUGAUAGCAAGAUUUCAUAUAGGCAAUAGUACAUUUGAGUGGACUUUAAUUUUGAACUUCUGUUUUGAUGUGUUUAGUAGUUAUUUGUCAACAUGUCAAGUUCCAUAAAACUCUGUCCUGUCCAGUUUAAAUUGUGUGUGUGUGUGUGUGUGUGUGUGCGCGCGUGCGCGCGUGCGUGCAUGCGCAUGUGAUCAGUUUACGGGGGACACAAAGUAUGGAGGGAAGCUAAAAGAGAAUUACAAUUCAGAAAGAUUUUGGGCUGAAACACAAGUAAAACCAACAAGAAACAGUUUAGGUGGGAGAAAUGUAAAUCUAGUUAGGAUUUUUAGAAAUUGCAUUUGCAAGUCCAAAAUAUGGACAGGAAUCCGUCUUGGCAUUUUUUCACGUGAGAGCCAAUGUGUUAGUUUAUUGCAGGCUUUUUAUGGGUCAAGCAUGAUAUCUCUGCCUUAGAAGGUGGGAAUGCAACCUUGGUUUAGAACACAUUAAUUACACAAAGCCAUCUUCGUUCAUUCAUUGCCAGUUCUUAUUUGCAACUGGUGUUUGAUUUUGGGUGUCUUUUUUGUUUUUAAGUGAAACAUUGCUUAGCUAGGUUCCAUUCAAAGGAGGAGGAGGCCGAGGAUGGUGAAUAGACGGUAGCCCGUGUUAGCAGCUUUCCAGGCAUCUCCCUUGCAGUGUUUUGCUGUCCUAGGGGGCAGAUCUGAAGCCAUGAGUGGAGAUGACCUCAUUGUAAGAAGAAUCAUUACAAUGCCUGCAUCUAUCCAGUAGCAGAAUGGCUUACCUAGUGGAACGAGCAUCUGUUCCCCAAAGUUCUUAGCAAAGGUGUUGCUGAUCAUGUCUGGGACAGUGCAUCCGGAUUUCCUAGUACUUGGCAGGAGGUAAAGUAGAUAGGCUCCAAGAUCUCUUCUUACUCCGCAAUCCUGUGAUAUCAAGUAAUUCACAGUGCUGGGGGCGCUUGGAUUGUUCUGUAUUUCAGUCAAGUUUUAUCAAAAGGAAAAUAGAAAAAGUAGUGGGAAGAACUGCUCUUAUUAUUGUAACAUAUAAACUGCUUGAUCUUUAUUUGUCCUCAUCUUUCUCAGUUGCUUAUAAAUUUUAAAUGGGAAUAUUGAGUGAGGAUCGGAGACAGGACGCCUUCAUCACAUCUGGAUUUGAGAUGUGCAUCUGACAGCAGGGUGUAUUUACGAUAACUCCUCUCCAUUUCUUCUCCAUCAAAAAUAGUGCUCUCAGAAUUAGAAAGGAUGAAACAAACAUGGUUAAAAGAGAACAACACUCCAUAUAAGUGGCUGUACAAAAUAUAUUGGUCUCUAGGUCCUAAAAACUUGCUUUCAGGGCACUGAAAAGAUUUGCAGAUAUAACUGAGUAGCCGUAAGCUCUCACCGCUCGUGAGAAAUGAGUGACCCAAAGACAGGACCCAAGAACACAGCAACCCGGUUGUCCAAAAGGUGACUCAUGGACGAUACAAGCCAAUGAGUUUGAAUCUGUGUUCCUUGAAAAAAAUGUAGAAUGCUUAAUUAAAAAGACAAUUUAUGAAACUUCAUUAAAAAAGGAAUCAGUAAGGAAGGGUAGACCAUUCCUAUUUGGGUAAAUUAGGGGGGCGUGCUGGUGAUGGAGGUUAUCCCUACAUCUGACAAGAUUACUCAGAAUAUCCUCACUCUAUGGUGGUGGAAUGAAGACUGAGUUAUUAUGCAGUUUGUGUGAAUUUACAGCUGCUUGAACAACCAUAUCCCAAGGGGUCUUCUUUCUACUUCUAAGAUUCUUUGAAAGCUAUAGUUGUUAAAUUCUUUAUUAUGGAAAUGAAUUUUUACGUUAAGAAUAUUGUCCAAAGUGAUGUUAUCCUCUAACCCUGGAAUACUGUAUGUAUACACAUAUACACAUAUAUACACACACAUAUCUGGGGGGCUUAGCCCAACGCAGAUUCUUCCACAUUGCUCCUUUCCAAAACCUCUCCCUUUCCCUGUAACACUGUAAAAUAAUAUAUGACAGACUUGGC